rnacentral:lncRNA from 1 species
CCCACCUCUAAUGUGAUUCAUUGGUAAUUCAGUUCCUGAGGCUGAACUUGAAGCUGGGUUUAAAAGUCUCAUUAAAUUCGACUUAUUUCUGAGUAGAAAAUACAUAGGAUAGCUCUAUAAGAUUCUAUUUUAAAUCCUAGGUCAUGGAAGACUCUACUGGGACUGAACCUAUUCUGAACAAAGAUGCACUGGAUUCUCUUCUAGGGGAGAAUUCCUUUGAUGGGAUAUUGCAUUGGGCAUUCCAGAGCAUGUCACGUCCUUUGUCAGACAACCAAGGAUUAUUGUCGUAGAACUCUGGAUUUGAUAAUGUAUUGUCACAGUUUAAAUACUGAUCUGACUGUGUCACUGUAAUAUGAAAAAGCAGUUGUUCAGAGCUGAAACACUGGGAUCCAAUACUAAAUCAAUAUAGUCUCUAUAUCUUUCUGAUGAUGAUUUUAUUAGCUGAUACCUUUAUGCUUGUUUCUGGUCAUGAGAAUGGACUUGUUAAUUGAUCUGUACUUGAAUAGCUGAUCAUGCUAAUCUCUUGCUGAUAACUACAUGAUGGAAUAUUAAUUGAUAUGCAAGAUAUUUAGAAAUGUCCUUUUCUCACAGAAUUGCAUGCUGAAUACUAUCCUUCAGUAUGUUCCGUGUUUCCUUCUCUAGUAAAAUAAUGUUCAUUCACUGCGCGUCAUUGAAACAGACCAUGCUGCAGCUCAGAUCUGACGAGACAGGCAUGCUCUCUAGAUUAUUCUCCACAGUCAGUUGAGACUUUUGUAAUUUUAGGCAUCAAUGACUGUGAAAGCCCUGAAUUCUAGAACAUUUGGUCUCACACAGAAGCUGAAACUGUAUAACAAGAGGGAACAGAUAGGCUGGAAUUAAAAAAAGGGAAGCAAGAUAGCUAAGGGUGCACUCAAGGAAAAAUGGUCAGUUAGUUAACUGUUUUUCAGCUUUAGUAGACUUUCAGAUUCAGGCGUUUCUGGAAGCAUAAUGACCACCAGUCCUUUUCUUUGUGGCUGCUAUAGAAAUGAAUGUCUGUAAGGUGAUUAAUCA